AGUAGAAUUACUGGAUCAUGUGGUAGUUCUCUUUGAAGAAUCUUCAUGUUAUUCUCCAUAAUGGCUGUCCUAAUUUACAUUCCCACCAGCAGU
rnacentral:pre_miRNA from 1 species